AGCUGCUCACUUAUCCAUGCAAAAUUAGUGCAGUGUGGGGGCGGUAGCUCUGGCAGAGGAAAAGGCAGCAAGCCACUGGGGGAAGACUUGCAUCUUCAGCCAGCACAGCUGCUUGCAAAAUGAACUAUCUUGCUACACCCCUUGCCCUGAGGGGCCUAACACACACUGAUGACACUGAAACCAGCCAUCACAGCCACUUUUCUUUUACAGCAGACUGGUUGGUACAGCACCUGCCCAAGCUGUGAGAGAGGAUCCAAAAGAGCAUUGCCUACUUCCCAGGAGAUGUUUGCAGCUCAGCCAAGCCCAUGAGACACCCGCUGUGCAGCAGGGAAUACAUUACCUGUAUUUCUAACAAGAAAAUAUAAAGUACAUAUGCAUUCCCUGAAAUUCUAUCUGGGAUCUCUAUCUCAGACUAGACGGACAGGAGCAAGAUCACUGAUGUUACCAUUUCUGCUGCACAAUCCA